UCCGCUCCGUGCCCCCGACGCUCCGUGCCCUCGCGCCUGCGCCUGCUCCGCUCCGUGCCCCCGACACCCCUGCUCUGCUCCGCCAUGGAGGAUGCGCUCCGCCAUGGAGGAUGCUGCUCCACCCCGCCAUGGAGGAUGCUGCUCCACCCCUGCGCCGCUCCGUGCCCCCGACGCUAUGGAGGACGCCGCUCCAUCCCUGCUCCAGCCUCAAGACUGCAUAAAAGUUCUGCAUUGCCACUGAACUGGAGCAUUUUCUGGUCGCCGCCUUGCUUGCGGGUUGCGCCGGCAUAGGGAGGCCACGAGGACCAUGUUGGCGACGUCGAUCGGUUGGUCGCCCUGCAUCUCAAGUAAGCAAGGAGGGAGCUUGCUGCCAUCAAGAUCACCUGGUUCUGAGGCAUCAUCUUGUGGAGGACUCAUGUUAAGAUCAAUCCCAAACAUCAUUGCGGCGGUGGAGCACUUGCUCAGGUAACUGUUCAUGUUCCAAUAAGAAAGAACAUUCUGGUCAAGUUAAAUCAGCUAAAUCAAAGAGGCACCUGAAAAUAGUUCUCUCCACAAGAAUUGUUUGCUAGACUGAUGGUUAUUGCUUCAUUGGUUAUUUGCUUCAUUGGUUAUUGCAGAACAAGUAGGUAGUGAUGGGCUGCUUGCUUGAGCCUACACCAUGCUGUCUUUUGUUCAGACUUGAGAGUAAACAAAGAGCAGCUGUUAAAAGCUUUGUUUCUUUUACAAUUCCUAGAUAAGUGGAACAGUGGAAUGACAUUUGGCAUUCAGGACAUGUACCACUUAUUUUGCAUUCAGGACAUGUUUGCAAAAUGCAUAAUGCAAAGGUUCAAGCUCUAUUCAAGUUCUGUUUAAUCCAGCUUCAUUUGGUAUUCAAGUUCUGUUUAAUACCAGCAGCAAUUAAGUUCUCUUUAAUUCAGUAUUCAGUACAGAACAUCAAGUAUUCAGUAUUCAUAAACAUCAAGGUGGAUCCGGCCGAGCUCUGCCGGUGGCUCAAGAGGAAGAUGAGUAAGGAUGUCAAGAUCGUCUGCCCUCAUCCGCCGGUUGCGAAUCCUAAGCAUAAAAUGAUACUGGUUCUGGGAAGCAGCUCAAGAACUGGGAACCGGGGACAAUCAAGGGAGGUGAUCAGCAACAGUAAGAAGGCUCUGCUAGACAAUGCCCUGAGCCAGCCCGACGCGUUCAAGAAACUAGAAUCACUCACUCAGUGCCCUGAUCUUUCAAGUAUUAAGCAAUCCAGCAAUUAAGAACUCAUGAUCUGAGUAAUUCAAUAUUCAGCUUUACAAUCAAGUUCUUUUUAAUUCAGCAGCAACAGCAACAGAGGCGGGGGCGGGGAAUACCAGCAGCAACAGAGGCGAGGGCGGGCACGACCUUCGGAGGAGGGCCAGCACGGAGAGGAAGACCCUGGGCUUGGAGGAGAGGUUGAGCAGGGCCAACGCGGCGAUGAAGACCCUGGGCCAGAGCGGCGACGAAGACCCAGCGCCGCGACGGCGUCCAAAA